GGGGACAGAGGACUUGACUUACUGAGAUUAGAUGUUGUAAUCCUGGUUCACAAACUUUUGACCUCAAUCCCUCCUGUUGCUCGUGGUAUUUCUCUGCCCCUUCACUUCCCAAUACACUCACACACACACGCCAGUCACUUUCUGUCUGGGAGCCCAGGACACAGCUCAGAUGGGAGUCUGAGCUGGGAGAACAGGAGAAGGAGCGAAGGUGGAGGACAAUUUCCCUUUCAGGUCCUGUCUCUCUGGGUAUUCCCGUAGUGGCUUCCCUGGGCUCUCCUGGGGACCUGAGGCAUGGAGCUGAGCUGACCGCAGGAGCCGGGAUCGGGGCUGAGGAGGCGUAAAGCCCAGAGAGGAGGUGUGAUUUGCCUAAGGUCACACAGCAAGUUAGAGACUCAGCUCCACCACUUACUGCUUUGGCUGUGCCUCUCUCACCAUCCGGCCCCACUCCCAGCUCGGCGGCCUCUAGAUCCAUUACGGGGCUAUGGACAGGAAAGUGGCAGUCCACGAGGAUGUGCCUCCUAUGGUCACCUGGGUCCCUGAGGAGGGAGAGAAGCUGGACCAGGAAGGCGAGGACCAGGUGAAGGAUCGGGGCCAAUGGACCAACAAGAUGGAGUUUGUGCUGUCAGUGGCCGGGGAGAUCAUUGGGCUGGGCAAUGUCUGGAGGUUUCCUUAUCUCUGCUACAAAAAUGGAGGUGGGGCCUUCUUCAUCCCCUACUUCAUCUUCUUCUUCACUUGUGGCAUCCCGGUGUUCUUCUUGGAGGUGGCAUUGGGCCAGUACACCAGCCAAGGGAGCGUCACAGCCUGGAGGAAGAUCUGCCCCCUUCUCCAAGGCAUUGGUUUGGCAUCUGUGGUCAUCGAGUCCUAUUUGAACAUCUACUACAUCAUCAUUCUCGCCUGGGCCCUCUUCUAUCUGUUCAGCUCCUUCACCUCUGAGCUGCCCUGGACAACCUGUACCAAUACCUGGAACACAGAGCACUGCAUGGACUUUCUGAACCACUCAGGAGCCAACACAGUGACAUCCUCUGAGAACUUCACCUCACCUGUCAUAGAAUUUUGGGAGAGACGUGUUCUGGGCAUCACUGCAGGCAUCCACGACCUGGGAGCCCUGCGUUGGGAACUGGCCCUGUGCCUCCUGCUUGCCUGGAUCAUCUGCUACUUCUGCAUCUGGAAGGGGGUCAAGACCACAGGCAAGGUUGUUUAUUUCACAGCCACGUUUCCCUACCUGAUGCUGAUCAUCCUUUUGAUUCGAGGCAUCACGCUCCCCGGAGCCUAUGAGGGCAUCAUCUAUUACCUGAAGCCAGAUUUGUCUCGCCUGAAGGACCCCCAGGUGUGGAUGGACGCGGGCACCCAGAUCUUCUUCUCCUUUGCCAUCUGUCAGGGGUGCCUGACAGCCUUGGGCAGCUACAACAAGUACCACAACAACUGCUACAGGGACUGCAUUGCCCUCUGCUUCCUGAACAGUGCCACCAGCUUUGUGGCUGGGUUUGUGGUCUUCUCCAUCCUGGGCUUCAUGUCCCAAGAGCAGGCGGUGCCCAUCUCUGAAGUGGCCGAGUCUGGUCCUGGUCUGGCCUUCAUCGCAUUCCCUAAGGCUGUGACUAUGAUGCCCUUAUCCCAGCUGUGGUCCUGCCUUUUCUUCAUCAUGCUCAUCUUCCUAGGGCUGGACAGCCAGUUUGUCUGUGUGGAGUGCCUGGUGACAGCCUCCGUGGACAUGUUCCCCAGGCAGCUCCGGAGGAGCGGGCGGCGAGAGCUCCUCAUCCUUGCCAUUUCUAUCCUGUGCUACCUGAUAGGGCUCCUCCUGGUCACCGAGGGCGGGAUGUACGUCUUCCAGUUGUUUGAUUAUUACGCUUCCAGCGGCAUAUGCCUGCUUUUCCUCGCAAUGUCGGAAGUAAUCUGCAUCAGCUGGGUCUAUGGGGCAGACCGUUUCUAUGACAACAUUGAGGACAUGAUUGGCUACCGGCCAUGGCCCCUGGUAAAGAUCUCCUGGCUCUUCCUGACCCCUGGACUUUGCCUGGCCACUUUCUUCUUCUCCUUGAGCAAGUACACACCUCUCAAAUACAACAACAUCUAUGUGUACCCUCCCUGGGGAUACUCCAUUGGCUGGUUCCUGGCUCUCUCCUCCAUGGUCUGCGUCCCACUCUUCAUCAUCAUUACCCUCCUGAAGACCCAGGGUACCUUCAAGAAGCGCUUGCGACAGCUCAUCACCCCUGACCCCAGCCUGCCACAGCCCAAGCAACACCUGUGUCUGGAUGGUGGCACCAGCCAGGACUGUGGACCCUCCCCAGUGAAGGAGGGACUGAUAGUUGGGGAGAAAGAGACCCACUUAUAGGAUGUGGCUGAAAGCCAGGGGGCUCCUGAGCCAGGAACCCGGGGUCAGGGCCACCCUCUCCCCGCAGUGGACAGCCUUUGCCUCUGUCCCACCACAGCCCUGUUGAGAAUGCCUGCGAUGUCUGGGGCACCCCCAGCGAAGGCAAGAUUCCCUCCUCUCUCCUCUCAGCGGAAGCAGCUUCUCCUGGUGGGCUCAGGACGGUCCCACUGGAACAUGCCACGCUGUGAAGCGACUCCCUGCUGGAACCCACUGUCUUAUUUAUAAAGGAGGGUGGUCUUUUUGGAGUUCACCAUCUGAUUAUAGCACAUUACAUUGUGAGGGAUCUCCCACUGCAGGGAUGUUUCCUGUUAGAGUUUACUAUAUUUGUGCAUUGGAAGAUAGUGCCAGUUGGAAUACACAUCAUGAUCUGAUCCAGAGAGCGCGAAGGAACACUGUGCUGGAAGUGGCACUGAACACACCAUGUUGGACUCUGACAUUCCCUUAGAGGGGGCCCCUCACUAGGCGUAGCAUUCUGGAGUCCAGGGGGAGGGGACUAGAGAAUCAGCCAGGAGGCAGAUCUUCACAGGCCAUCAUUGCAUCGAUGUUUCCAGGAGGCAAUCUCUCCCAGGGUUCCUAGUGCCAGUGCUAGUUCUACACUCUUCUUCAAAUGUUGUCAUCAACUCAUGGAGCGUUCAAAUGGAAGGGACUUACAGAUGAUGCCUGGACUGUGUCCUAUGUCCAUGACAGACAUUGCUAAUCGAUUACCAAUUCUUUCCCACCUCAUAGUCCUUCCAAAUAUAGUGCUCCAGGCAGCUUCAUUUGCCAUCCUGCUUUUGUCCAAAUCCCUGACUUCAUGAAUGAGGACCAAUGAGACAAAGCGGCUUUUUCAAAUUCACACAGUUCCUCAGCACCAGAGAGACGACUGGAACCUGGUCCUCUGUUUCUCGGCCAGUGUGCCCCCCGUUACCCGCUCCUGCGUUAAUAACCAAGCAUGUUGUAUGGAUCGCUUGCCCCGUGUGCUGCCUUCUUUACCUCACCCAUGCCUGUUCAGUUACCCUGUCUUGGGGUAGGAGGGAGAGAGGUCGCUUCUGUGUAGGAGUGAGCAGCUCUCCCUAGAGUGGUGCCUUCACCAUAGUAUUUUCUCUGCCAGCCCCUACUCAUCUGACUAGAUUUCCUCUCUAGACCCCUCAUUCUUGACACUUUCUGUCUCUCCUCCCACAGGGGCGGGCUUGGGGCCUGCAAGAGCCCUCAGGUCUCAAACAGAGAGGGAGGGGUGUGUGUGUGUGUGUGUGUGUGUGUGUGUGUGUGUGUGCUCCUUUCCCCUCCCUACCAGAUCAUGCAGGUCCUUCUCUGGCCGGAGUAGGCUUUGUGGAGGUGGAAGGCAGGACUUGUGUUCAGAAGGAAGCGAGGAGAAAGAGUGGAGGUCGCAUAGGCCACUCAGGAUAGUUUCCUGGGGCAGGACCUGAGAGCUGGAAGAAAGGAAGUCACCCAGGAGAAUUAUGUGGAGGUAGAUGUCACCCAGAGCCAAUGCCCAGUGGCUGGAGUAAAAAUAUGGUCUGGCCAUGGUGAGUUCCAUCUCCAACAGCCCCGGCCAUCCUCAGAUCACUCACCACCCUUUGCCCAGAUAGGUAGGUGCUUCUCACUUGUAAGAACAAGUACGUUGUCACACUGGGCACGAGCAGAUGUCCAGACUCCUGGGUUCUGGCAGUCUGCUUCUGCAUUCCUCUAGACCGCUCCGUGCACCUGUGUUCACCUUUCUUGGACUAGUCAGUGGGUCAAGAAGUGGGUACAGGAGGAAGGGAUGGAGAGAAAAGGCUUCAGUCAGAUCACACUGAUGAGACUGGGGAGCCUUAGUUGAGGCUGGCACAGUGCUCUCUGCUGCCUCUUGGUGGCCAAUAGGAACAGUGCCGCUUCCCCAGGUUCCCCGCAGGGCCUCCUCAGCACCCUUCACAAACCAGAGGGAAGCGCCCUCACCCCGUCCUCAGGAUGCAUGGACAAGCUGAGCAGCUCUCCUUCCCUGUCAGCUUUCACCAUCUGGAACCCAAACACUUCCCUCAUCCUUCUCCCCAUGGUCCUGGUGGGGCUCUCCUAGAGAGACAGCUUGCUUUGGGGCAGCCAGCUGCAGUGGACAGGCGGGCGGCCAGCCAGGCUUCUCAGCUACCUGCUGCCACCCACACCUCGGCUCUGUCAGCCUGGGGGACAGCAUUUUCUGUUGUGGGCAGGUCUGCACAGUGGUGGGGCACAAGCUCUCCCCAGCUCACGGGGCCCUGAAUGGUCUCUCUGACUCUGCAGACUGCUCACAGACACCAUCAUCCUCUCCCACCUUCCUCACCUCACAUAAAUACACCAGAACCCCUGGCUCUAAACUUACAGGCUAUCUUAGAAGGUCUCUGUUCUGGCUCUGGGACUGCUGAGUCCAAAGGCUCUGGAGGGGUGGCUCAGGGCUGGAGGAAACAGGGCGUUGGGGAAAGGGACUUCCGGCCAACUUCAUAGCUCAUAGGAGCCCACUCACAGCAUGGGCAAGGAGCAGCAAUUAGGCCCUUUAAAGUACCCCGAGCACUGAUACAGGUGUGUGUGUGUGUGUGUGUGUGUGUGUGUGUGUGUGAGUGUGUGUGUGUGCAUGCACAUAUGUGCACAGAACAGGUAUGGGGUUAGCUGGGCUUGCUUCCAUCUCCUAGGCUGGGUUUCAUACUAGGGGCCAGAGGCCUAAUCUGGCAGCUAUGAUCUGUUUGGCCAGUAUGAUAUUAAAAUUUUUUUUUAAGUGUAUGCUUUUAGGUACUCUCCAGUUUGCUGCAGACUCCACCGCUCCCAAUUACCCAAACCUGAGCUUUUCACACAUUUGAGUCUAAAGGCAUUUGACUUCCUAACCUGUGCCCCAAGGGAAGGACUGAGACCUGUGGGCCAGGCAGGGAACCAGAACCCUUGCUUGAGGGGAGGGGAACCAAGGGCAGCGCUCUCAGGGUCCCAGUGCCUCAGAAGGGGGCAGUCCUGGGACAGCCAACACUCUGGCUUGUUCAUCUGUGGGUCUCCCACUCGGUAACCCUUGAAUCCUGGUCAGUUCUGCCCUUCCCACCAGGCUCUUCCCUUUCCCAAAGGUCUAGCUACUUUCAAAGCUAGACCUGAAGUCUAGACCAGUGGCCUCCCAACCCCAUCAGUUCACCCAGAUGUGCUUAGGAACACCCUCCCCCCAAUUUCCCUUUAUUUUAGGCAAAAGUAUUUAACCUGACUGUGGUGCUCCUCCACAUGGGAGGCUGAGACUGUCUCGCUUUUCUCGGCACCCGGCACCCAAGCUCCUCCUGGGAACCCCCCCUGCCACUCCCAGGCUGGGCUUCCUGUGGAGCUGACUUGCCAAGGCUGCUGGUCCUGGGGCUGCAGCCCCCAGCCACUCACCUUGGCUCUUCCCUCUGUUCCCCUUGGCCAGGCUGAACCUGGGUUUGGACUCUCCCCCUCUUGUCUCAACUGGGAGCCCCUUCUCCACCCAGCAUGUGGGUUGCCUGUGUGGGAGCUGAGGAGUAAGCGAAGGUAUGCUCUGUGCCCUCUCUACUCCCUUCCCCCAAGCCAGGAGAGCUCAGGGAGCUGAAGAGGGCCUUGAACUCCACUGAGAUUGGAGCCCCAACCCCUGACGAAUGGACUUCCCAUGUGCGAGACUGCGGUCUGUGUGGAUUAGGUUGGAAGGGCACCUGACCAGAGGAGAUUGUUCCCUAUCUAGCCGGCAUCCCACUUUUACAGCUUCUCCCACCUGGUUCCAUGCAGGGCCCCACCAAAGAGGGCCUGGCUCUGGUUUGGGGCCUCCAGGUAUUGCUGGGCUCCACCUCCAGCUGACCUCCCAAACCACCCUCCAGGUCCAGACCACCUUGUGGGUCUCAUGUCUGCUGCUCCCAUGGAAAGGAAGCAUCCACUGUGACCUAUUUCAUCCUAGAGCUGUCUGGGGAUGCCAGUCUUGGUCCUCCCACCCUGUCAGAGAGAAAGAGAAUGACCCCAGAUCUUCUCCUCCUCUGUUCAUGCCCUGACCCACAGCGCAGAUGGAGGACGAGUGAGGGACAUUUGCAGCUAGGUCCUAGAAGGCACUAAGGCUUCCAUGAUCUCGUGGGUCACUGCCUCUGGUGGCAGCCGAUCGCCACGCCACGUGGACACUCAGUCAGCCCCAUAGAGAGGCCCAUGUGGAAGGAGCUGAGGCUUCCGGCCAAGAGCCAUCACCAACUGGUCAGCCAGGCGAAUGACCACUGUGGACGUGGAUCCCCCAGCCCCUGUCAAGCCUUCAGAUGACCGUAGGCCUGGCUGAUGCUGACUGCAACCUUAUGAAGGGCCCUGAGCCAGAAAAUACCGCACGAGGUGGGCCCUGAAUCACUGACCCACAUGAAAGAUAAUCAAUGUAUAUUGUGUAAGCCACGAGUUCUGGAGUAGUUUGUUCAGCAGUAGUAGAUACCUAAUAUAGGUCCUUGGCUUCCCUAAGUACAAGAAUCGCCCUUUUUGAGGGUGGGGUAUGCCCCUCAGAGCACUGUCCCUCCACACUGCAGGAAGGGAGGCCUCGCUGGUGUUCGUCCUGUGUGAGCCCUUCGCCUUUCUCCCACAUCCUUAUCACUCUGACCCUCCAUAGCCCUCCGGACCCUGGGCCUUGCCCUCUCCUCCCUGCCCUGAGGCAGGUGAGGACUGCCUGCCUCUCUCCCUGCUGCUCUAGGCCUCACACGCCCGCUCCCUGGUGACACAGCGCACUGGCUUCCCUGCGGGUGUAGCUGCUCAGGGAAGUAACAAGGGCUGAUUGGACUUGUCAGGGGUGAAAGCUUGUUAACCACCCAUCAAUACAGAAGGUGGCGGGAGGACAGCAGAGGACGGUGGGGGCCAAGCCUGGCAGGUCAAAUGAGGCUGAAGUGGGUUGGUGUCCUGGGUCCUGGCACCUUGCCUGCCAGCACGCUCUACUUCCAGUGUGACCACCAGCAGUCAGGUGGCUGCUCCUGGGGUCUGAGGAGUUGAUGGGUUGACAGGGUGGGGAGGCGGGCACAUCAUUGCUAGGUGAUGCAACAGACAGAUAGAGGAAGGCUCUGACGGCCUGGGUUCCUCCACAGGGUCAGUGCCCAACCCCACGGCUGCAGCAAGAGUUCAGUCAAUACUCCUGAUGCAAUUGCACUCCGAGGCUUUCUCUGCACACACCAUGUCACCCACCCACGCAGGGCCACUGCAGUGUAGCCAAAGGGCCCGAGGCCGGAAGCCAAAGGGCCUGAGGCCGGAACUCCCGAGUGCCACGUCAGCAAUGCUGUUACUAGCAGUGGACCGUCGCUCCAGGUGCCACUCAUUCCCUGUCUCCACUCCGCAAGGGUCUGGGAAGGUGGCCGGCACCCUCCCUGGUCCAGUGGGUGCUUGGCAAGUGCAGUUGGAAUCGGGGUCUGUUGCUGAGAGGAGGGUCCCGGAGGAGGCAGGGACAAGGCCAGAAGGGCACACCAGGCAGAGGAACAGCUCCUAGCCCGCUGCAGGCUUCUCUCUCCUCUGUAUUAAUUCUAACACUUUUACCUCUUGAUUCUUUAGAGCUUUUUACAUAGAUAAUCAGACUGUCGGAGUUAAUUUCUCUGAUCAUCAUUCCUUUCAGUUUUUUCUUGACUUCCUUCACUUGGUAACUAGAAGUGGUGGUAGGAGGCAUCCUUGUCUCCUUCCUAAUUUUGAAAGGAAUUCUAACAUUUAACUAUUAGAAUUAUUACUAAGGGUAAUAGUUGACGUAGAUUUUUGAAAAAUAUCAUUUAUUAGGCUAUGAAGUUUUCUUCUGUUCCAAUGUUUCUGUUUUUGUUUUUUGUGUUUUUUUUUUUAAAAAGAAUAAGUGUAAAUCAGAUGGUAACUAGACUACUGUGACGAUCAUUUCACAAUAUAUACAAAUAUUGAAUCAUUAUGUUGAAUACCUGAAACUAAUGGCAUAUGUCAAUUAUAUCUCAGUUUUCAAAAGUGUUGACUUUUAUUGAUUGCUUUUUAUGCAUUUAAUGAGAAGAUCAUAUUGUUUUUCUCCUUUAAUCUGUUAAUGUGGUGAGCUGUAUUAAUAGGUUUUCUAAUAUUUAACUAUCUUUUAAUUCCUGGGACAAACCUAACUUGAUUAUGGUGCAUCAUUUUUUGCUUGCUAGUCAUUCAAUGCUAGAUUCAGUUUCUUAACAAUUUGUUUAGAAUUUUGUAUUUAUGCUCCUUUCUCACACUGUCCUUGCCUGAUUUAGUUUUUCUUAUUAAGGUUACACUAAACCUAUAAGGAGUCUGGAAAUUUUCUUUCAUUUUCUUUUCUCUGAAAGAGUUAAUAAGGGAUGGAAACUAUCUGCUCUUUGACUGUACAGUAGAAUUUUGUAAAAUCA